rnacentral:rRNA from 1 species
UACGUAGGGGGCAAGCGUUGUCCGGAUUUAUUGGGCGUAAAGAGCGUGUAGGCGGCCAUUCAGGUCAGCUGUGAAAACUCGAGGCUCAACCUCGAGACGUCGGUUGAAACCGUUUGGCUAGAGUCCGGAAGAGGAGAGUGGAAUUCCCGGUGUAGCGGUGAAAUGCGCAGACUAUCGGGAAGAACACCCGUGGCGAAGGCGGCUCUCUGGGACGGUACUGACGCUGAGACGCGAAAAGCGUGGGGAGCGAA